UCACAAAUAAAGGUAAGCCUUAAAGUCCCUAAGACCCUAGACUUUUAAACGUGAGUGCAUUCCUUUGCAAAGGGAGAUGACUGCUUUUGUAAUGGUUACUUAGGAUGUCGUUUAUAGAGGUGGUUGACCUUCUGUGACAAACUCUCUGGGAGAAUCCUGUUUUGGAACUUGGAGUUCCAUUCUUGGGGGGGGGGGGGUAGUUCUCCCAACUGUCAACAAUCCAAACUGUAAACAGGAAACUCCAGACUGACACCCACUGGAGUCCCAAGGUUUCAGACCUCUGACUGAAACGAUGGGACUUAUAGAAAUGAUACCAUCAGGUUGUCACAUUUGAGGAGCUCAUCUCUUACAGCACGUGCCAGGCCUAUCCUACGAUCAAGCAAUUCUUCUCCUAGAGACUUGUCCACAGAAAGCAAAAACAUCCAUCCAGAGAGAUCGCACAGACCCGUGUUCAGAGUGGCAAGAUUUGUGUUCGCCCAAAUUUGGAAGCAAAUUCCCAGAUGCCCAAUGACCACUGAGUGGUUAAGAAAGUUGUGGUAUAUGAUAUAAGUUCUGCCUAUCACUCCGCUGGUAGAAAUGAUGACAUCUUCUCCUUGGCCACAUUGUGAAUGAAGCUUGAAGGAAACGUGUUAGUAUCAGCCGGAGAAGGACAAAUACUCAAGGAUCUCAUUUCAGAAGGCAGCACAUGUUAUUGUUGCUGGAGACUCUCAGCUAAAGUGAUGAGAAAACAAGGCAGCAACUCAGUGAUGAACAGUUACCAGGUGGUCCGGGUGAGACCCGAACCCAUAAUCUCAAACACCACAGCCACCAUCCACAGCUGUACUUCAAUG